rnacentral:lncRNA from 1 species
AUUUUAUUAACGAUUGAAAAUUUGAACAAGAUACAUAAAUAUAUAUAUUGAGAGUAUGAACUAAUAGUAGGAAUUGAAAAAGAGGAGGAAAGGAAUCGGAUGGCCAGCGCGGUUGGUGGUUAAAAAAAUAAUUGGAUGGGCCGCUUGGGAACGAAGCUAACAUGGAAGGGGCCCGUCCGACACCGCCGCCGAGUAGUCCAGUCCCGCACCUGCCGAUGAAAUCAACGGGGCCCGAGUCCUAUACCUAUUAGAUCGGAUCCACACUACCUAUGGCUGGUGGUUCCAUCUCCCGGUUCAGUCAUAUUACCACCUGUUCGCGUAUCGACUCGCUAGUAAGUCCCAAAUCGGUCUCCGGGUUAUAGAUAGUGGCUGAUGCGCCAUACAAAAUGCUAUUAAAUUUUUCGUCCCGAGAGUUAGUCACCGUGGCUAUCUUGCCGGACCAGAGAGUGUUUACACUACUGGACGACCGUCAGCCGUAGUGUAAGCGGAUGGGUUACCCACCCUGCAGAAAUAUUUGAUCGGAGCUAGAUGGCGGCUCUAUAGUGUGGAUGGGGCCUGACCGAAAUGGCCUGGGUGAGUUAUGGAAAGUGGCGGGGCUAAAUCAGCUCUUCCACCGUCCGCCCAUCCUGGCGGAGGGGUCAGCCGGAUAGUGGAGGACCCGACCCCACCGUAAAUAUUUUCGAAAUUCGAACUCGGUCCUCCCGAGCGGAAAGCCGAAGCGUUUCCAGGCGGCCCAUCCGAUCAACCGUCGGAUUCCUGGGUCUGGCUGGUCUAAAUACCCAUGGUGUUACGGUUCCGGCAGGGCGGUGGUCUAGCCGGGAUCUAAAUUCUGGAGUUGACCAGAAUUUCCGUCGCCGACUCAGGCCAUUUUAGUAACCGGGGUCCAAAUGUUUGGGCUUUUCAUUCUGGAAGUCCGGGUUUGAUUCGAGUCCACCAUCUUGGUGGGGCCUAACCCGGGAUGGCCCCAUCUAUCUCAGUCGGAGGUGUCGGUUCGGGAUCAUUGGGGCCGAAAACGCUUCCAUCCCGUGUCCAGUUCAUGGUAAAAUAUUUUAAUUCUUUAGUUAACAAUACAGAUCAAAUUAUGUCACUAGACAAAAACACUGAUGGUACAUAAAAGAAAAAGCGUAAACAAAUAGGACAUAGAGUUAAUUAAUACUUAAUAACUUAUAAAAUUAAAAUAACAAUAGUCAUUUAGAACAUAAUUUAUCAUAUAAAUUUUUAUCAUAACGUGGAACGCGCAUGGGACCCAUCAGACUACGAGAACUGCAGGCGUUAGGCCUGACGGCAUUUGAAGGAUGGCUGAUAGGUCAACUGGACGCAGAGACUACGGUUAGAAAUCAAUAGCUUCCUUUUAUUAGAGUCCAAGGAGAGAAUUCUUUACAGUAACAUUUUAAUAGAAUACGUUUAGAAUAAGGGUUCCAAAUCAGUUUAGUUUCACUGCUGCAAGUGAUACGGUUGGUUGCGGAUUCAACGUCGGAUCCGAGUGGGGAUGGUAGAGACGAAAUCUGCCUGGACUUCACUGAAGGGAACGGCUGGUGAAGCUGGACAGUGGAGACAGACUGUGGGUUUAUCGGCCGAAAUACCGCGCUCUGGCAAAAUUUUCUUGACUGUUUACCGCUGUCCUUUUGACCGCCUGUCUGAAUACUCCCACGCCAGUAUACGUAUUGGCUCCGGUGACUCGACCUUCCACCUCCGUCAGCCAAACCACACGUUCUCUUUUUAUUUAA